GACGAACGCUGGCGGCGUGCUUAACACAUGCAAGUCGAACGGAAAGGCCCUUCGGGGUACUCGAGUGGCGAACGGGUGAGUAACACGUGGGUGAUCUGCCCUGCACUUUGGGAUAAGCCUGGGAAACUGGGUCUAAUACCGGAUAGGAGCUCCUGCUGCAUGGUGGGGGUUGGAAAGUUUCGGCGGUUGGGGAUGGACUCGCGGCUUAUCAGCUUGUUGGUGGGGUAGUGGCUUACCAAGGCUUUGACGGGUAGCCGGCCUGAGAGGGUGACCGGCCACAUUGGGACUGAGAUACGGCCCAGACUCCUACGGGAGGCAGCAGUGGGGAAUAUUGCACAAUGGGCGGAAGCCUGAUGCAGCAACGCCGCGUGCGGGAUGACGGCCUUCGGGUUGUAAACCGCUUUCGCCUGUGACGAAGCGUGAGUGACGGUAAUGGGUAAAGAAGCACCGGCUAACUACGUG
rnacentral:rRNA from 1 species